GGAGAGAUGGCUCAGUGGUUAAGAGCACUGACUCAGAGGUCCUGAGUUCAAAUCCCAGCCACCACA
rnacentral:tRNA from 1 species